CGAACGCUGGCGGCGUGCCUAAGACAUGCAAGUCGUACGAGAACGCCAUCUUCGGAUGGUUAUUAGAGUGGCAAACGGGUGAGUAACGCGUGGGUAACCUGCCUCGAGGUCUGGGAUAACUCCGGGAAACUGGGGCUAAUACCGGAUAAGACCACGAGCUCUUCGGAGCUUGCGGGAAAAGGUGGCCUCUUCUUGAAAGCUACCGCCACGAGAUGAGCCCGCGUCCCAUUAGCUUGUUGGUGAGGUAACGGCUCACCAAGGCUCCGAUGGGUAGCUGGUCUGAGAGGACGAUCAGCCACACUGGAACUGAGACACGGUCCAGACUCCUACGGGAGGCAGCAGUCGGGAAUUUUGGGCAAUGGGCGCAAGCCUGACCCAGCGACGCCGCGUGAGCGAUGAAGGCCCUCGGGUCGUAAAGCUCUGUCGGAAGGGAAGAUGGGAGCGAAGGCGAAUAGCCUAGCUUUUGACGGUACCUUCAAAGGAAGCGCCGGCUAACUCCGUG
rnacentral:rRNA from 1 species